AGAGUUUGAUCCUGGCUCAGAACGAACGCUGGCGGCGUGCUUAACACAUGCAAGUCGCGUGCGCAGUUUCCGUAGCAAUACGGGGAUGGGCGCACGGCGCACGGGUGCGUAACACGUGGGCAAUCUGCCCUCCGAUGGGGAAUACCCCCGCGAAAGCGGGACUAAUUCCGCAUAACAUUCCUUGGAUUAACUUUCGAGGAUUCAAAGCAGCAAUGCGUCGGAGGAGGAGCCCGCGCCCGAUUAGCUAGUUGGUGAGGUAACGGCUCACCAAGGCAAUGAUCGGUAGCUGGUCUGAGAGGAUGGCCAGCCACACUGGAACUGAGACACGGUCCAGACUCCUACGGGAGGCAGCAGUGGGGAAUCUUGCACAAUGGGCGAAAGCCUGAUGCAGCGACGCCGCGUGGGGGAUGAAGCUUUUCGGAGUGUAAACCCCUUUCGACUGGGACGAAUGCCUCGCAAGAGGAGUGACGGUACCAGUAUAAGAAGCCCCGGCUAACUACGUGCCAGCAGCCGCGGUAAGACGUAGGGGGCCAGCGUUGUUCGGAAUUACUGGGUGUAAAGGGUUCGUAGGCGGUGUGGCAAGUCGGGAGUGAAAUCUCUGGGCUCAACCCAGAGACUGCUUCCGAAACUGCUGUGCUUGAGUGUGAGAGAGGCUCGUGGAAUUGCAGGUGUAGCGGUGAAAUGCGUAGAUAUCUGCAGGAACACCCGUGGCGAAAGCGGCGAGCUGGAUCACUACUGACGCUGAGGAACGAAAGCUAGGGGAGCAAACAGGAUUAGAUACCCCAGUAGUCC
rnacentral:rRNA from 1 species